rnacentral:rRNA from 1 species
GUGCCAGCAGCCCGCGGUAACACGUAGGACACGAGCGUUAUCCGGAUUUACUGGGCGUAAAGCGCCUGUAGGUGGACGAACAAGUCGGCUGUGAAAGCCCUGGGCUUAACCCGGGGAGGCCAGGCGAUACUGUUCGACUUGAGGGUGACAGAGGGGAGUGGAAUUCCCGGUGUAGCGGUAAAAUGCGCAGAUAUCGGGAGGAACACCAGUGGCGAAGGCGGCUCCCUGGGUCAUACCUGACACUGAGAGGCUAAAGCUAGGGGAGCGAACAGG